AGGAUGAACGCUGGCGGCGUGCCUAAUACAUGCAAGUCGAGCGGUAAGGCCUCUUCGGAGGUACACGAGCGGCGGACGGCUGAGUAACACGUAGGAACGUACCCCAAAGUGAGGCAUAAGCACCAGAAAUGGUGUCUAAUACCGCAUGUGGCCUUAGGGCUAAAGCUCCGGCGCUUUGGGAACGGCCUGCGCAUGAUUAGCUUGUUGGUGAGGUAAUGGCUCACCAAGGCGACGAUCAUUAGCUGGUCUGAGAGGAUGAUCAGCCAGACUGGGACUGAGAACGGCCCAGACUCCUACGGGAGGCAGCAGUAGGGAAUUUUCCACAAUGGGCGAAAGCCUGAUGGAGCAACGCCGCGUGCAGGAUGAAGGCCCUCGGGUCGUAAACUGCUUUUACGAGUGAAGAUUAUGACGGUAGCUCGUGAAUAAGGAUCGGCUAACUCCAUGCCAGCAGCCGCGGU
rnacentral:rRNA from 1 species